UUUUCAACAAAAGAACUUUAGUAGUAGAGGAGUCAAUACAUAUUAUUUUUGAUGAAACUAACGAUCUUCCUUCAAGGAAGAAUGAAAGUAUUGAUGAUGUAGAUCCUCUUAUAUAAUGGAUAAAGGAGAUCACUCUAAAACACUCAACCAUUCAAGAUGAUGAAGAACAUGAAGAUAAAUAGGAUGAGGAAGGUGAAGAACAAUCUGCAGGUAUAAAUGAU
rnacentral:lncRNA from 1 species